GACGAACGCUGGCGGCGUGCUUAACACAUGCAAGUCGAACGGAAAGGCCCUGCUUUUGUGGGGUGCUCGAGUGGCGAACGGGUGCGUAACACGUGAGUAACCUGACCUUGACUUUGGGAUAACUUCAGGAAACUGGGGCUAAUACCGGAUAGGAGCUCCUGCUGCUUGGUGGGGGUUGGAAAGUUUCGGCGGUUGGGGAUGGACUCGCGGCUUAUCAGCGUGUUGGUGGGGUAGUGGCUUACCAAGGCUUUGACGGGUAGCCGGCCUGAGAGGGUGACCGGCCACAUUGGGACUGAGAUACGGCCCAGACUCCUACGGGAGGCAGCAGUGGGGAAUAUUGCACAAUGGGCGGAAGCCUGAUGCAGCAACGCCGCGUGCGGGAUGACGGCCUUCGGGUUGUAACCCGCGUUCGCCUGUGACGAAGCGUGAGUGACGGUAAUGGGUAAAGAAGCACCGGCUAACUACGUG
rnacentral:rRNA from 1 species